AGGGUUUGAUCCUGGCUCAGAGUGAACGCUGGCGGCGUGGAUAAGGCAUGCAAGUCGAGCGAUCUUUAUUAUUGAAGCAUAUUGAAGUCCUUCGGGUCUGAUGUGUGUGGAUUUAGUCGAGAUAGCGGCAAACGGGUGAGUAACGCGUGGGUAACCUACCCUGAGAAGGGGGAUAGCUUCGAGAAAUCGGAGAUAAUACCCCAUAAGCCCUUAGAUUUCAAGAUUUAAGGGGAAAGGUGGCCUCUAUUUAUAAGCUACCAUCUUAGGAGGGGCCCGCGUCCUAUCAGGUUGUUGGUGGGGUAAUAGCCUACCAAGCCUAAGACGGGUAGCUGGCGUAAGAGCGUGGUCAGCCACAUCGGGACUGAGACACUGCCCGGACUCCUACGGGAGGCUGCAGUCGAGAAUCUUUCACAAUGGACGAAAGUCUGAUGAUGCGACGCCGCGUGGGGGAUGAAGGCCUUCGGGUCGUAAACUCCUUUUGUAGAUGAUGAAUGCCGGUGUAUUGAAUAAGUAUAUCGGAGUGACUAUUCUACGAAUAAGCCACGGCUAACUCCGUGCCAGCAGCCGCGGUAAUACGGAGGUGGCAAGCGUUACUCGGUUUGACUGGGUGUAAAGGGUCCGUAGGCGGUUAAGUAUGUGUAAAGUGAAAUCUUCUAGCUCAACUAGAAAACUGCUUUUCAAACUGCUUAACUAGAGGAUAGAAGAGGAGAGCAGAACUGCUGGUGUAAGGGUGAAAUCUGUGGAUAUCAGCAGGAAUGCCCGUGACGAAGGUGGCUCUCUGGUCUAUACCUGACGCUGAGGGACGAAAGCUAGGGGAGCGAACAGGAUUAGAUACCCUGGUAGUCCUAGCUGUAAACGAUCUCCGCUAGGUAUUUGCCCUUUUAGGGUGGGUGCCGUAGCUAACGCGUUAAGCGGAGCACCUGGGGACUACGGCCGCAAGGCUAAAACUCAAAGGAAUUGACGGGGGCCCGCACAAGCGGUGGAACACGUGGUUUAAUUCGAUGCUACGCGAGGAACCUUACCAGGGUUUGACAUGCUAGGAUGUAGUUCCUUGGAAACAGGGAGCGACCGUAUCCAUCCGGAGCCUAGUACAGGUGCUGCAUGGCUGUCGUCAGCUCGUGCCGUGAGGUGUUCCCUUAAGUGGGGUAACGAGCGCAACCCUCGCCUUUAGUUGCAACUUCACAUCGGCUUGCCGAAGUGAAGGCACUCUAAAGGGACUGCCUACGUUAAGUAGGAGGAAGGCGGGGAUGACGUCAAGUCCGCAUGGCCCUUAUGUCCUGGGCUACACACGUGUUACAAUGGCGUGUACAACGAGAAGCAAGACGGUAACGUGGAGCAAAUCUUGAAAGCACGCCUCAGUUCGGAUUGAGGGCUGCAACCCGCCCUCAUGAAGCUGGAAUCGCUAGUAAUGACGCAUCAGCCACGGCGCCGUGAAUACGUUCCCGGGCCUUGUACACACCGCCCGUCAAGCGCUGAAAGUGGGGGGUACCCAAAGCUCCGACUCGUUCGGAAUCAAGGUAAAUUUCGUGAUUGGCGCUAAGUCGGAACAAGGUA
rnacentral:rRNA from 1 species